UAGGGAAUAUUGGUAAUCUGGGAAACCGGGAACCAGCAACGCCGCGUGCGCGAUGAAGGCCUUCGGGUUGUAAAGCGCUUUUUGAGAGGAUGAGGAAGGACAGUACUCUUAGAAUAAGCCUCGGCUAACUACGUGCCAGCAGCCGCGGUAAAACGUAGGAGGCGAGCGUUAUCCGGAUUUACUGGGCGUAAAGCGUGGGUAGGCGGUUUGAUAAGUUGGAUGUGAAAUCUCCUGGCGUAACUGGGAGAUGUCGUUCAAAA
rnacentral:rRNA from 1 species